GUGAGUAGUUCAGAGUUUGAUCCUGGCUCAGGAUGAACGCUGGCGGCGUGCCUAACACAUGCAAGUCGAGCGAGAAAUUCAAGACGAAUUCUUCGGAUGCCUGAUUGAAUGGAAAGCGGCGGACGGGUGAGUAACGCGUAGGUAACCUGCCCUGUACAAAGGGAUAGCCAUUGGAAACGGUGAUUAAUACCUUAUGAUACCGCAGCAUCACAUGGUGAAGCGGUCAAAGAUUUUAUCGGUACAGGAUGGACCUGCGUCUGAUUAGUUAGUUGGUGGGGUAACGGCUCACCAAGGCGACGAUCAGUAGCCGACCUGAGAGGGUGAUCGGCCACAUUGGAACUGAGACACGGUCCAA
rnacentral:rRNA from 1 species